rnacentral:lncRNA from 12 species
GAGAGCUCCAGGAAUAGCAAGACACGAUAACGGUUCUAUCACUGCAUUACAUGUAGGUCCUUUCUACUGGACAUCAGAACUGACAAGAAUUUCACAGAAUCACGGAAUGUGCUGAGUUACAAGGAAGCCACAAGGAUCAUCAAGUCCAGCACCUGGCCCUGCACACGACAAAGCCAAGAACUCCACCAUGUGUGUUCCUGAGAGCAUUGUCUGAACACCUGGGCUCUAUCACUUCCCUGCUCC